AUACAGAGGGUGCGAGCGUUAAUCGGAAUUACUGGGCGUAAAGCGUGCGUAGGCGGUUUGUUAAGUCAGAAGUGAAAGCCCUGGGCUCAACCUGGGAACGGCUUUUGAGACUGGCAGACUCGAGUUGAGUAGAGGGGAGUGGAAUUUCCGGUGUAGCGGUGAAAUGCGUAGAGAUCGGAAGGAACACCAGUGGCGAAGGCGACUCCCUGGACUCAAACUGACGCUGAGGUACGAAAGCGUGGGUAGCAAACAGGAUUAGAAACCCUAGUAGUCC
rnacentral:rRNA from 1 species